rnacentral:misc_RNA from 1 species
GGGAUUUUCAGCUCUUAUCAAUAUGCUAAAAUAUUGUUACGAGCUUGGUGUAAAAUAUAUAACAGUUUAUGCAUUCAGCAUUGAUAACUUCAAGCGAAGGCCUGAAGAAGUUGUAUCACUAAUGAAACUGAUGCAGGAAAAAAUUGAUGAAUUAACAAAAGAGGAGAGCAUUGUAAACCGCCUUGGUAUUAGAAUUUACUUUCAAGGAAACCUUAAACUUUUGAGUGACCAUGUCAGGUUAGCCGCCGAGAGGGCUAUGGUAAAGACAUCAGGUAAUUCAAAAGCUAUAUUGUCUAUUUGUGUUGCCUACACAUCAACAGAUGAGAUUGUCCAUGCUGUUCAAGAAUCUUGUGAAGAAAAAUGGGACGAGAUUAGAAAACUAGAUGUAAAUAAUGAUGGAAGCAAUUUAAUUAGACUCGAAGAAAAUGUGAAGGACAAGAAUGAGCACCGGAUUGGUGUGACAAAUGUUGACAGACAUAUGUACAUGUCAGUUUGUCCUGAUCCAGACAUUAUUAUACGGACUUCUGGAGCAACUCGUUUAAGCAAUUUUCUUUUGUGGCAAAGUUCACAUUGUCUUCUUUAUUCUCCUGCUGCACUAUGGCCUGAGAUUGGUUUAAGG